rnacentral:rRNA from 1 species
CAGGGGGUGCAAACGUUGCUCGGAAUUAUUGGGCGUAAAGCGCGCGUAGGCGGCUACUUAAGUCGGAUGUGAAAGCCCCUGGCUCAACUGGGGAAGUGCACCCGAAACUGAGUGGCUUGAGUGCGAAAGAGGGUCGCGGAAUUCCCGGUGUAGAGGUGAAAUUCGUAGAUAUCGGGAGGAACACCGGUGGCGAAGGCGGCGACCUGGGUCGACACUGACGCUGAGGCGCGAAAGCGUGGGGAGCAAACAGGAUUAGAUACCCUGGUAGUCCACGCCGUAAACGAUGGGUGCUAGAUGUUUCUGGUAUUGACCCCGGAGGCGUCGUAGCUAACGCGUUAAGCACCCCGCCUGGGAAGUACGGCCGCAAGGCUA